rnacentral:rRNA from 1 species
UACGUAGGUGGCAAGCGUUGUCCGGAUUUAUUGGGCGUAAAGCGAGCGCAGGCGGUUUCUUAAGUCUGAUGUGAAAGCCCCCGGCUCAACCGGGGAGGGUCAUUGGAAACUGGGAGACUUGAGUGCAGAAGAGGAGAGUGGAAUUCCAUGUGUAGCGGUGAAAUGCGUAGAUAUAUGGAGGAACACCAGUGGCGAAGGCGGCUCUCUGGUCUGUAACUGACGCUGAGGCUCGAAAGCGUGGGGAGCAAACAGGAUU